UACGUAGGGGGCUAGCGUUGUCCGGAAUCAUUGGGCGUAAAGAGCUCGUAGGCGGCCUGUCGCGUCUGCUGUGAAAUCCCGGGGCUCAACCCCGGGCGUGCAGUGGAUACGGGCAAGCUAGAAUUCGGUAGGGGAGACUGGAAUUCCUGGUGUAGCGGUGAAAUGCGCAGAUAUCAGGAGGAACACCGGUGGCGAAGGCGGGUCUCUGGGCCGAUAUUGACGCUGAGGAGCGAAAGCGUGGGGAGCGAACAGG
rnacentral:rRNA from 1 species